rnacentral:misc_RNA from 1 species
AAAAAAAACAAAAUGGACCCGAAAUUGUGCGACAGGUGAUUUAAGUGUACUUAUAUUACUACUAAGGUAUAUUGCAUUGCAUCGGUAUCGGUUACCAAUACCGAAACUUUGGGUACCGAGUAUUGGGCAACUCUGCACAUCACUAUUUUUUAAAAAAUGACACUUUCAUUGAGGGCAAUUGCAGCACAUAUCACAAUUUCCUGAAUGGCCCGAGUGAUUAUGAUGCGCUUUCCUUGGAGAUAUUCCACCCAAAACCCUCAUUCAUCCAAGUACGGCACAUUUACAACUCGUAAUCGAGUUCGCCUGAAGGAUGAAUGAGGAAUUUUAGUAUGAUGAAUGGAAGUGCGUGGCUCUUGGGAACUUCGGGUAUGCAGGCGAUACUCGCAGCACAAAUUCCUCUCGGAAAAAGCCAACCAUUAAAUGAUGCUGGAUUUAGCUAAAAGUGGUUGCAAAAUCGCGCACGACAAAUCACAUGCAUUUGGCCAAAACUUCUGUAUCGAUUGUGCGAAUUUGAAGUCUUGCAGGAUCUGUAUCGCACAGAUAAACCUUGUGUUCCAAAUUUUAUAGAAGAUCAGUCCUUUGACGAAAUACGAUGGAUAUGUUAUGAAGCUAAAAAAAAAACUGUUUCGAUCAGUUCGUUAAACAAUUCGCCAAAGAAGCCAUUGAAGCUAAUAAUAAAAUGAAAACAAUGGCGCAGAUAUCACCCCAUGUAGUAGAUAUUAUAUGCCGAUUGUAUGAUGCAACUUCAGAAGCCGCCACAAAUGUGGGUUUGACUAAAAGUAAUAAAACUAAUCCAUUUGGCCUUGAAAUUAGCGUUGCCAGUGACACAGCAUUGAUAUUUAAAAAAACCUGGCGCUACAUCCAGCAGUAAUAAAAAUUUUGGUGAUGCUUUUAACGAUCAUGGUCAUACUACCAAUGCCGGAUGCGUAUUUGGCGGAAUGGCACCUUCGACUCCUGGAGGAAUCCUUGGUGGAGCUUCCAAAUGCUAGUUCCAUAUUCGGAGGAGGCGGCCCACAAAAUCUAUUUGGUCAAACGCUGACAAGUACUGAUGUUACUGUUGGACGUUUUGGGCGCGCGCAGCAAGGGACCGGAGGUUUGUGUUCUUCCCAAGCUCAACAGAACGCAGGUGGUAGUUUAUUUAACCUAAGUAUUCAGAAGCAGCAAAUAACAAAUGGGGGAAACGUUUUUACCCAAUCCACGCGAUCUCAACAAAUGCAAACUCCGCCGAAUUUUGGCAUGUACCAGAGCAACAAACAGGAGGCGCAAUCAGUUUUUGUACAGCAAAAUGUUUUUUCACAACAAACCCCUGGUUGCAUAUUUGGUCAAGUGGCACAAACUACGUCUUCUGCCAACUUAAUUUGUCUGGUAAUUUUCCCCGGAAUAUGGUGAG